CGUCAGAAGUUGAUAUGCUGUUGCUUACUCUCAAGUAAUUCAAGUUUUUACCGAAUUCUGAGUACUCAAAUUUCACAAAACUGUAAUGGUGAGUUGAUUAGUUGAUUGUGAUAAUGCUGGUUUGAAGUUAUAAGUUUCCUUUUUUAGAGACUUGAAGAUACGUGCGGGGUAACUUUGACCCUGCGAUGUCAAAUUCCAACUCCGAACUUUUGGAGCGGGUGCCCGGGAGCUGGCAGCGCUGCCGGGGUAGCUGCAGACACGCUGUCAGAUGAAGUCUAUCUCUCCAGAAGUAGAGGAAGUGAUGGGAAUACAGCCUAGCUUCAAGAUUCAAUGAUGACUGCACCACUACAGGAGACACACCAUUGUCAGAUGAAGUCUACCUCUCCAGAAUGAUGGGAAUGCAGCCCAGCUUCAAGAUGCAAUGAUGUCUUCUCCAUCGAUAGGUUUGCUGCAGUCAUAUGAAGUCUACCUCCUCUCAAGAAGUACAUGUACAUGUAGAUGCAUGAUGUGAAAUGCAGCCCACCUUUAAGAUUCGAUGAUGAAUCCAUCAACAGAAGACACUCUAUUGACAUAUGAAGUCUACCUCUCCAGAAGAAGAUACAUGAUGGGAAUGCAGCCCAGCUUCAAGAUGCAAUGAUGUCUUCUCCAUCAACAGGCUAGCUACAGACACACCAUUGUCAAAUGAAGUCUACCUCUCCAGAAGUCGAUGCUUGAUGUGAAUACAGCCCAGCUAAGGACUCCUCGAUGUCUUCCCCAUCAACAGUGAUGGUUGUCGUCUCCAUUAACAACCAAGGAGGGGUUUGAGACCUGCAGUUGAUGAGCUUCCUAACGAGUCUGGAAAAUAAACUACUCUCUCCUUGAUAAAAGGUGUGCCAUCUGCAGAUGAUAUCUACCUGACAAUUCCCGAGACCUGCAACUGUGCCCACUAAGUGUCAAAACAACAACAGAAUAGAGGUAUAUGUAAAAUCCCUGUGGGUGUUUUUCACUAACAUUAAAAAGUGGUCUGUUUUUGCAGCACUUGAACAAACAUAAUACCUCACAUGCCACAACAUUGAUGGGGAGUUUAUGCGGACACCAGUCUAACCCAUUUUGCGUGGUUCGUCCCUUCAGAUUGAUUACAGAUUUAAAAAAUAGGAAACAUGUUUAUGAUUAACAACACCCUUAAUUUAUAUAGAUAAUUCAGCACAUUCCUUAAAGCAUACCACCUAUAUGGUGAAUUAUAAAAGUUGCUUGUAUGGUACAGAUAUGGAUGUGUUGUGUAGUUGAAGAUCGAAAUGUAAAAUUAAACAUGAGUUUUGUGUAACACUAAUUAUGUAAUUUGUAAUGAAUAUUUU